UACGGGGGGGGCAAGCGUUGUUCGGAAUUACUGGGCGUAAAGGGCUCGUAGGCGGCCAACUAAGUCAGACGUGAAAUCCCUCGGCUUAACCGGGGAACUGCAUCUGAUACUGGAUGGCUUGAGUUCGGGAGAGGGAUGCGGAAUUCCAGGUGUAGCGGUGAAAUGCGUAGAUAUCUGGAGGAACACCGGUGGCGAAGGCGGCAUCCUGGCCCGACACUGACGCUGAGGAGCGAAAGCCAGGGGAGCAAACGGG
rnacentral:rRNA from 1 species